UGCCAGCCGCCGCGGUAAUACGGAGGGUCCAAGCGUUAUCCGGAAUCAUUGGGUUUAAAGGGUGCGCAGGCGGUUUAUUAAGUCAGUGGUGAAAUCUCGGGGCUCAACCCCGAAACUGCCAUUGAUACUGAUAAACUUGAGUAUACUUGAGGAAGUUGGAAUGCGUGGUGUAGCGGUGAAAUGCAUAGAUAUCACGCAGAACGCCGAUUGCGAAGGCAGAUUUCUAAAGUAUAACUGACGCUGAGGCACGAAAGCGUGGGUAGCGAACAGGAUUAGAUA
rnacentral:rRNA from 1 species